rnacentral:rRNA from 1 species
UGGUGGAGUGAUUUGUCUGGUUAAUUCCGUUAACGAACGAGACCUCGACCUGCUAAAUAGUUGGGCGAAUUCUCCGUGAGUUCGACCGCAACUUCUUAGAGGGACUAUCGGUGUUCUAGCCGAUGGAAGUUCGAGGCAAUAACA